rnacentral:tRNA from 3 species
GGGCUGUUAGCUCAGUUGGUAGAGCAGUUGACUCUUAAUCAAUAGGUCCAAGGUUCGAAUCCUUGACGGCCCACCA